AGAUCGAAUGAAGAGAUUCAUCGUCAGCUAAUCCGGUAUUGAUGCAGGCUAYGAUGUGAUAAUAGAAUCCUCGUGGUCACUAGAUUAUACGUGCNUGUAUCAUUUUUGCKGGWUAUGUUUUACUCUAGUAGUGCGGAURUAAUGCCGUCGCUGGACAAAGUCUGCUGUUAGCKGGUAAUGUCUUUAACUGGCUUAUUUUUACCGGUUAGCGAUGCUACUGCUUUGGGUACUUACAGGACCCGUCUUGAAACACGGACCAAGGAGUCUAACAUGUGCGCGAGUCAUUGGGAUAUAUUUAUAUGAUUGAAACCUAAAGGCGUAAUGAAAGUGUAGAUUGUCUUAAGACAAUUAAGGGAAGAUGGGUUGCGUUACGAUGUAAUCCCGCAUUCCCGGGACGUUCUAU
rnacentral:rRNA from 1 species